GGUGGGGUAUCCAAGUGGCUAAAGGGGACUGAUUGUAAAUCAGCUGGCACUGCCUUCGUAGGUUCGAAUCCUACCCCCACCACCA
rnacentral:tRNA from 7 species